UGGGGAAUAUGCACAAUGGGCGCAAGCCUGAUGCAGCCAUGCCGCGUGUGUGAAGAAGGCCUCGGGUUGUAAAGCACUUUCAGCGAGGAGGAAGGUGGUGAGCUUAAUACGCUCAUCAAUUGACGUUACUCGCAGAAGAAGCACCGGCUAACUCCGUGCCAGCAGCCGCGGUAAUACGGAGGGUGCAAGCGUUAAUCGGAAUUACUGGGCGUAAAGCGCACGCAGGCGGUUUGUUAAGUCAGAUGUGAAAUCCCCGGGCUCAACCUGGGAACUGCAUUUGAAACUGGCAAGCUAGAGUCUCGUAGAGUGGGUAGAAUUCCAGGUGUAGCGGUGAAAUGCGUAGAGAUCUGGAGGAAUACCGGUGGCGAA
rnacentral:rRNA from 1 species